CCUACGGGAGGCAGCAGUGGGGAAUUUUGGACAAUGGGCGCAAGCCUGAUCCAGCAAUGCCGCGUGCAGGAUGAAGGCCUUCGGGUUGUAAACUGCUUUUGUACGGAACGAAACGGUGAGCUCUAAUACAGUUUGCUAAUGACGGUACCGUAAGAAUAAGCACCGGCUAACUACGUGCCAGCAGCCGCGGUAAUACGUAGGGUGCGAGCGUUAAUCGGAAUUACUGGGCGUAAAGCGUGCGCAGGCGGUGAUGUAAGACAGAUGUGAAAUGCCCGGGCUCAACCUGGGACCUGCAUUUGUGACUGCAUCGCUAGAGUACGGUAGAGGGGGAUGGAAUUCCGCGUGUAGCAGUGAAAUGCGUAGAUAUGCGGAGGAACACCGAUGGCGAAGGCAAUCCCCUGGACCUGUACUGACGCUCAUGCACGAAAGCGUGGGGAGCAAACAGGAUUAGAUACCCUGGUAGUCCACGCCCUAAACGAUGUCAACUGGUUGUUGGGUCUUCACUGACUCAGUAACGAAGCUAACGCGUGAAGUUGACCGCCGG
rnacentral:rRNA from 1 species